CUGACCUUUACACUGUCACGUUGAUCAUUGAGUGUGGUCUUUCCUGGGAGAGGCACGCCCUGUUUGAGGCCUCGAUCUGCAGCUGAGGCUAACCCUUAAGUGGCUGGCAGCUUGAAGCUGUCCACUGGGCCCUCCCAACAGCAGGGGUAAAAAGUGCGGGAUGUGGGUAGCACACACCUGUGUCCAUCACAUGGAGCGUGUGAAGCGCAAUCACCAGAAUGUAGUGGCUGAGGCAGGGGACCUGAGAUUCUAACUGCUUCCUAUUAGGACUCUUGACCAGGGUCCUGUUUUCUUCAUGAUUUUCACACUGCCCCUUGGCACCUGGACUCUGAGCUCUUCUGGGCUGCUGUAUGUGAGAACCGGCUCAUGACUCAUGAGCAUCGUCCUCUGCAGGUGCAGAGAUUUCAGAGUUUCCACUCUGCUAGUGAAUUAGAAAUGAGGGUGCUGCUUAUCUCUUUCAAUUGUUGAGGAUGCUUUGAUAUUUCCGUCCCACAACUAUUCUCCUCUCCAAAAAUUCUUUGUUACCUUGUUCUUUUACAAUUUUAAACACCCUUUUGGAGCUCUUUUCAAAGAGUUUUUUCAGGAAAGAAAUAACGAUGUCACAGGUGAAACAGGCUUAGUCUAAAGAGGAAGGAAGCUUGUCUCUCCAAUUACCUUCCCUGCAGACUCUUGGCCUGGAUCGAUGCAAUCAGCCUGGUCUUGACCGGUGCCUACCCUGCAGAGCAGUGCAGGAACUACCACCGGGUCACGUGGCAUCGCUGUCUGGGACACCGUGCUGUGGGUCACAGGGCCCUGUGCUCUUCUACUUUUGUGACUCUGAUGUUUUCUUCAAGCACAAAGAAUUGGAAUUGGGCAGAACUGAGGUGUCAGUGCGAGCAACUGGAGGCCAGAAGAGAACCCAGUGGUGGAGAGUGGCCAUGGAUGAACACUUUAAAGAAGCAGGAUCAACUUAGUGUGUAAUGAAGGUUAUCGAUUAAAUACAAAUUUGAAUAUGAAAAAUUAAAGAAUUGGAAUUGGGGUCACUGAGAAGCUGACAGUGAGAUGACGUCAAGCACGUAAACUAAAUGGACAUGUUAGAGAGGACUGGUGUGGACACCAUGAAUGAGCUGGCCGACCCCUGGUCUAAAUGAGAGAGGACCAGGACAGCGAGAAAGGAGAGGAGGAAAUGGACCAGGUGGUUAGGGCCAUCCAGCAUGGCUUGAUGAGUGGUGCAGGUCCAUGCCUGGGAUCCGAACCUGUGAACCCUGGGCUGCUGAAGCGGAGCAUGUGAACUUAACCACUACACCACAGAGUGGGCCCCCAUUGUGUGUUUUUUAAUCUUUCUCAAAAUCAUGUAAGAGUCAACUUUAAGUCUUUGCCAGACUAAUAGAU
rnacentral:lncRNA from 1 species